UACGUAGGGUGCAAGCGUUGUCCGGAAUUAUUGGGCGUAAAGAGCUCGUAGGCGGUCUGUUGCGUCCGCUGUGAAAACCCGGGGCUUAACCCUGGGCUGGCAGUGGAUACGGACAGACUAGAGGUAGGUAGGGGAGAAUGGAAUUCCCGGUGUAGCGGUGAAAUGCGUAGAUAUCAAGAGGAACACCUGCGGCGAAGGCGGGUUGCUGGGCCGACACUGACGCUGAGGCGCGAAAGCUAGGGGAGCGAACGGG
rnacentral:rRNA from 1 species